GCCACGAUGGUCUAGCGGUUAGAACGCUGGCCUUGUAAUCCUGGCGUCUCGGGUUCGAUUCCCGGCGGUGCCC
rfam:Zootermopsis nevadensis contig16991, whole genome shotgun sequence.